rnacentral:rRNA from 1 species
GACGAACGCUGGCGGCGUGCUUAACACAUGCAAGUCGAACGGAAAGGCCCUGCUUUUGUGGGGUGCUCGAGUGGCGAACGGGUGAGUAACACGUGAGUAACCUGCCCUUGACUUUGGGAUAACUUCAGGAAACUGGGGCUAAUACCGGAUAGGAGCUCCUGCUGCAUGGUGGGGGUUGGAAAGUUUCGGCGGUUGGGGAUGGACUCGCGGCUUAUCAGCUUGUUGGUGGGGUAGUGGCUUACCAAGGCUUUGACGGGUAGCCGGCCUGAGAGGGUGACCGGCCACAUUGGGACUGAGAUACGGCCCAGACUCCUACGGGAGGCAGCAGUGGGGAAUAUUGCACAAUGGGCGGAAGCCUGAUGCAGCAACGCCGCGUGCGGGAUGACGGCCUUCGGGUUGUAAACCGCUUUCGCCUGUGACGAAGCGUGAGUGACGGUAAUGGGUAAAGAAGCACCGGCUAACUACGUGCCAGCAGCCGCGGUGAUACGUAGGGUGCGAGCGUUGUCCGGAUUUAUUGGGCGUAAAGGGCUCGUAGGUGGUUGAUCGCGUCGGAAGUGUAAUCUUGGGGCUUAACCCUGAGCGUGCUUUCGAUACGGGUUGACUUGAGGAAGGUAGGGGAGAAUGGAAUUCCUGGUGGAGCGGUGGAAUGCGCAGAUAUCAGGAGGAACACCAGUGGCGAAGGCGGUUCUCUGGGCCUUUCCUGACGCUGAGGAGCGAAAGCGUGGGGAGCGAACAGGCUUAGAUACCCUGGUAGUCCACGCUGUAAACGGUGGGUACUAGGUGUGGGGUCCAUUCCACGGGUUCCGUGCCGUAGCUAACGCUUUAAGUACCCCGCCUGGGGAGUACGGCCGCAAGGCUAAAACUCAAAGGAAUUGACGGGGCCCCGCACAAGCGGCGGAGCAUGCGGAUUAAUUCGAUGCAACGCGUAGAAUCUUACCUGGGUUUGACAUGGAUCGGGAGCGCUCAGAGAUGGGUGUGCCUCUUUUGGGGUCGGUUCACAGGUGGUGCAUGGCUGUCGUCAGCUCGUGUCGUGAGAUGUUGGGUUAAGUCCCGCAACGAGCGCAACCCUUGUUCACUGUUGCCAGCACGUUAUGGUGGGGACUCAGUGGAGACCGCCGGGGUCAACUCGGAGGAAGGUGGGGAUGACGUCAAGUCAUCAUGCCCCUUAUGUCCAGGGCUUCACGCAUGCUACAAUGGCUGGUACAGAGAGUGGCGAGCCUGUGAGGGUGAGCGAAUCUCGGAAAGCCGGUCUCAGUUCGGAUUGGGGUCUGCAACUCGACCUCAUGAAGUCGGAGUCGCUAGUAAUCGCAGAUCAGCAACGCUGCGGUGAAUACGUUCCCGGG